CGAAAGCCUGACGGAGCAAGACCGCGUGAGGGAGGAAGGCUCUUGGGUUGUAAACCUCUUUUGUCAGGGAAGAACACAAUGACGGUACCUGACGAAUCAGCAUCGGCUAACUCCGUGCCAGCAGCCGCGGUAAUACGGAGGAUGCAAGCGUUAUCCGGAAUGAUUGGGCGUAAAGCGUCCGCAGGUGGCAGGACAAGUCUGCUGUCAAAGGUCAAGGCUUAACUUUGAACAGGCAGUGGAAACUGUACAGCUAGAGUGUGGUGGGGGCAGAGGGAAUUCCCAGUGUAGCGGUGAAAUGCGUAGAGAUUGGGAAGAACACCAGUGGCGAAAGCGCUCUGCUAGGCCAUAACUGACACUCAGGGACGAAAGCUAGGGGAGCG
rnacentral:rRNA from 1 species